UGCUGUGUAGUCGUAUCUAUAGUACCGGACUAGCGUCGUGUUUUAGCUGUGGCAAUAUUGUCGAGAGAGAGCGCAGUCAAAAUAUUGGAUGGGGAGCUAAUUAAUUCAUAUUCAUACAAUAACAAGAAAAGGAAUGAAGCUUCCUCUCCUCUCUAUCUUCAGACCUACAUAUAUACAUACAUUUAUUUAUUAUUCAAUAUUAAUAUUAAAUUACAUAUUAAUGGAACGAAAAUAUAUUUGUGAUUUGUCAUAAUUAACUAAAUUUGGCUAUAGAUUCAUUUUUUUCGUUAAUGACAUGCCUUUUUAUCUUUUAUAUUAAUAGCAUUACACAAUUAUUACUAUAUUAUAUAUUGCCAAAUAUUACCUUAUUUUGGGCAUGAUCUAUAGUUUAAUUGUAGCACACCACACUUAUAUAUUUCUUUUUCCAAAUUAAAAAAAUGAUUGAUCUAUAUUAGUUUCUUCGAUACUGGUACUUGUCUUCUCUUUCACAACACAUGCACCACCACCUAUAUUAGUUUCUUCUCGAUCCCUCCUCCUUCUCUUUCUCUCAGCUGCUCCUCUCCUACACAACUUAAUUUCACCGUCUUAAUUCUAAACAUAUAUAUGUAUAUAUAAUUAAUACAAAGUAUAUAUUAUUAUAUCUAUAUAUUGUAUAAUCUUAAAGAAAGAAAGAAAGAGAUAUAUAUAUAUAGAUCAGAUGAGUAAUAGUCGUGGUGAUCAUGGAAUAGUUGGGAGGGCUCUAAGCAGCCUGGGCAAAGGAUUCGACUUAACUUCUGAUUUCCGAUUAAAGUACUGCAAAGGCAAAGACAGGCUGGUUCUUCUCAAUGAAACUCAAACAAAGGAGCUUCAAAUACCAGGUUUUGGAUCAUUUAAUCAUGUCUCAAAUGACAUCAAAUGCGGUAAAGGCGACCGAAUUCGAUAUCAAUCAGAUAUUCUCGACUUCAAUCAGGUAUAAAAAUAUAUAUAAAUAUAGUUUUUCGUUAUGUCUUAUAAUUAGUAAUUAAGUUGUUAAAUAUUAAAAUUUAUAUAUACGUGUAAAUUAAUACAGUAUAUAUUAUGUAUAUAUAGAUGUCGGAAUUCAUAAACCAAAAAUGCUCGGUUCCGGGGAAAAUUCCGUCAGGAUUGUUCAACUCAAUGUUUGGUUUGGAGAGCGGAUCAUGGGCAAAGGAAGCUGCCAACACCAAAUAUUUAGGUCUAGAUGGUUACUUCAUUCGACUCUUCGAUCUUCAUAUUAAUCGAUAUCCUCUCCUGCUCUCCGACCACGUCCGAAAUGCAGUUCCUUCCACUUGGGAUCCAUCUGCUCUUGCCAGGUACGUAAAUAUAUAAUAAUUACACGACGACUAAACAUUUUUUAUUCCCUCCCUCCCAAGGCAUUAAUUCAUUCAAAGUCCUAAUUUGUAGGCUAACUGUUGGAAUUUUAAAUUUAUUAAUUGUUUUGGAAGUUCUCGUAUUAUAUAUAAUAGAAUGUGUGCAUCCCCAUCCUAUCCUAGCUACUUAAUUUUCACCUACUACUUCAUCAUUUCAACUCCAGAUAUAUAAGCCACCCUUUAAUUCUCCCACUCAUCUCUCCCUCUUUCUCUCUCAAAUCUAAGUAAAAAAAAAUAGCGCGCAAGAAGAGACAGGUGAUCAAGUCUAGAUACAAUGCACAUACUGUUGUAAGGUGGCUGGCCAGGUUGAAUAUGUAAUUUCAACUAAUUAAUCAAUUAUAUUUUGACUUGAUUCGAGAAGCAGGUAACUAGCCAACUACUAGUUGUGACUUGUGACUAAAUCAAUAAAAGGACCAGAACUGCUACCUCUCCCCUUAUAUGUAUAUUUCUGUAGUCUUGUUUUUUUCCUUGCUAAAAUAUAUACACACACUAUACUGCUUGAAAAAACAGAAAAUUACUUGUUGAACUAUAUAAUUUUUUUUAAAUACAUUUAAAAAAUAUAUAUUCUGUUUUGCUGCACAUGAUUCGAUUUGAUAAUAUUUUUUUUAAUAUGAAUAUUUUUAGUCAUAAAAAAUGUAAUAUUUAAAAAAAAAUUGGGUGUAAAUUCUCUUUCUAUGGAGUGUUAAGGUGUGCUUUGCCUUGGAGAGUACUACUAUAGUACUAUUAAUAAUUAUUAAGUUCAGACUUGAACUCGUCAACAAAUGUGUAUGUAUCAACUUAAAAUCAUUGAUUCAAUGAUUUGUUACCAUCAUAUUUAUUUUUAUAUAUACACACCUGGAACAUCUGUAGCAUCAGUAACACAUAAGCUAUCUACUUAAAUAUAUUAAAAAAAUAUAAUAGAAACUGUCAAAGUUUAACUUAUCAAUAAAAGUCAAACCAUACACACCUCACCAACAGCUUAACUAGCUAUGUUACACUACACGCAUAGGAUUCUGUAACUUCCGUUAAAUAAGUGGUACAAUAUAUUACCAUUAUUGUUUUAAAUUUGAUGAAUAAAAAUAGUACAUAAAUAUUCACUCUUUUUUCUAAAAUAUAAGUUUUUUUUUAAAAAUAAAUCUUUUUUACAAAAACGAAAGAUCUUAUAUUUUAAAACAGAAAUUAUACUAAUAAGAUCUCUAAUGCAAAUUUUAUUUUCCUAGUCAACAUUUAUACAGGAUUGUAAGGGUAUUAUAGUAAACUAGUGGGCUGCCAGCCAUUAUUUUUUCCCAAUAUUAAAACAGUGUCUUAAUUUGUACUCUGACGUGCAUUUGGGUUGUUUAUUUGUCAAGACUCUCUCCCAUUUAAAACGUUAACAAUGUUGAAAGUGUCAAAAGAACCGCAGAUGGCUAAUGGCACCAAUAUGGGCUUUGGUCAAAAUUAGAAAGGCCACCCGAUAGACUACCUCUCUCUCUCUCUCUCUCUCUCUCUCUCUCUCUAUCUAUAUAUAUAUAUAUAUAUAUAUAUAUAUAUAUAUAUAUAUUUUUCUCAUAUAUAAAUAUAUAUAUAUAUAUAUAUAUAUAUAUUUAUAUAAUAAUAACACAAGUCUAACAUUGAGAGAUCAAAGUCACAUCGUACAUACAUGACAUCUUUUGGAACAAAAAUUCAAAUCUUAUCACCAUUAAUAAAUUAAUUAGAUUUGAAUUGAAUGAAUGGGAUGUGUAUGACAGAUUCAUAGAGAAAUAUGGGACUCACAUAAUAGUGGGGUUGGGCAUUGGAGGGCAGGACAUGGUGCUGGUGAGGCAAGACAAAUCAUCCAACUUGGAGG
rnacentral:lncRNA from 1 species